rnacentral:lncRNA from 1 species
UGAAUAAAUAAACCAAUAUGAUAAAAUAAUAAGAACAAUUCAACAUUCAAACUAUAACGUUCAUGUAUCACCCACAACUCUAGAGCUAAUGAAUUAUAAGGUUAAAGAAAUAGAAGAGAAGAAAAACUAGUGAAAAGCAUGUUCCAAUGUGUCCUCAAUGUGAAUUAUCCUUCAAAGUGGCGCUGUCCCAUCAAAAAAUAGGUUUAGAACCCUUUUUAUACAAGGUACGGGCAUCUAGGACCCAAAAGAUAUUCUCCAAGUCGCAAUAGGAUAAUUCCCGAGAUUGGGUGCCCUGGGCAGUGCAUCGUGCUAGGCUAGGCGCUGAAAAUUUUGGUCUUCUGUUCUAGCACCACAGGUAGCGCGUCGCGCUACCCUGGACGCUAGAAUUCGGCACUUGUCCAUUUUCUUCUUUUCUUUUAGCUCCAACUCAUGCACAUUCAAUCCAAUUCACUCUCAAUUCAUUCCUACACAUAUUAACACCAAAUAUUAGCUUAACUCAUUGCAAUUACAUAUUAGAACCAACAAGAAUAGAGCAAACUGUGAGGCGAUUCUUAUACAAAAAUAUAUACUUUUGGCCAAACAUCAUAAACACAAGUACAUGUGUCAAUGAAAGCCAUUCAAUUAAUGUUACAGUAAUGGUAUCAAGCAGACAUUGUUAUAGAGUUCAAAGUCAUAGGGCAACCAGAGUUGAAUAUUCUGACCAAGAAACAAAAUGGACAGGUCCAGUGAUAGCCAUACUAAAAAGUUUACUACAUGAUCUCAAACCUCAGUGUAGACACAUAUGAAUCACCAAAUGUACAUCAAGUAGACAUAUCAAAUAUAAGACAAGAGUUGCAAGGAAAAACCAUUCAUUGAGCCAAGAUAAGGCUACACAACUUCAUAUGCAUGAAGGUCAAGUUAAUCCUAUUAUUAAAGAUAUGCAAUCUUAACAAGACAUCCGGAAGAGUUCAAGAACACGAUUUAACUAAUUUUGAUAAUGUGAUAGUGUUCAUAUGAUUAUUAGUUCAGCUGAUAGAGGUGGAUCACACAUAAAAUCAACAUAAGGUUUCAACUUAACUAAUCAUAAAGACUUAAUCGGAUUUAAGAGUAACAACAAUACAGACAGCCUUUCACGCAGCUAGGUCAUAAGAGAUGGAAUUCAUGCUCAACACAGAUUUGAUAACAACCAAGACAACAUGAUUCAUCAGAAGAAUCACUAACCUAAUAGUAGAAUGACAUGCAAAAGCAGAACAUAACAAGGAUAGUCACUGAUUCAUAUCAUAAACAGUGGGAAUUAAUAGGGAAAACACAAUAGAUACCAGAAAUACACAAUUAUUUCAAAGAUAGAAAGAGGGUCAGUGUACUGACAUUCUGUAGGGCAGCAAACCAAGUAUAUAUCGAUUCUUAGCCGUUUGGAAUCACAAACUCAGAACAAUCCACUCACAGUAAUUGAACUCGACCAAAAAUGAAAGAGGUGAAAGAGAAAAUUAGAGAAGAACUACUGAAACUUAAACUUAGUAGGAGAAACUUGAAGUCUCAAUUCAUUUAGUGUAUGUGCCAAUAGUGUUAGGUUUUGUAUUGAUAUCUUGUUAGGUGAGAACAUUUAAGGUCGUAUUUAUAGUGGCCUUCAGCCCUUGGUGUACUGAUAGAUUCAAAUAGUUAGUAGAUGGUGACGAUGGAUGGAUGAUGAUAGCAAUAGAGGUAAAAUCAGAGAGCAAAAGAGGGAAAAGAAGUGGAGAUUUUACCUGGGCAUGACGAAAUGAGAAAUUGAUUGCUGAUGUGUGAAAAGCCAUCGGUCGAAGCCCUAAUGUCCAUAGGUCGCUGCGUUUGACCUCUGGACAUCGAAUAAUAAUGAUGAAGCCGUAAAUAUUAUCCAUGCGUGCUCCGAUUUGAAAGAAUGUGUCACGACCCCAAAAUUCCGCCUUAGGAAUUGUAAUGGCACCUAAUCUCUAAGAUUAGGUAAGCCUAAUACAUGAAGAGAUCU